UGCUAAUAGAGUUUGAUCCUGCAUCAGAAAUGCUUCUGAGGUAGAUAGUUCCUAGCAGGAAUCAGGUGAAUGGGAAUGCAGCUACUUUCAGAAAGAGUGGGAGUCAUCAGGUCUCCUCCUCAAGUGCUUGAGAAACAGAACUCAGCAGGCAGAUACGUUGGUCGGAUAGCAUGUGAUCAGCGUGUUUGCUGUGAUCUCCUCUGGUACAGCUGAGAUCAUCUGUCAGAAACACAGGAAUUUAUGGUGGUGGUUGGGGAAUGCCACUUUCCCCAGUCCCUCUCCUGCUUCCCUUCUUUUCCGGCCAUCCCUUGCUGGACUUUCCUGCCUUUUUCAAUCCCAGCAGCCUGUCGGACAGCAGCAGGCGUGAGGGAAGGUGAGCUGAGGUGAUCACAGCACAGGCAGGGCAGCACCCUCACUGGCAGGGCACAGGCCCAAGAGCAGGGAAAAAAGAGCAGGGGUUGCAAUAGCAACAGGUCUCAUUAAGAGGCCAUCAGGUUAGAGGCCAUUUGAGGAAAUCCAAACAAAUCAGAACUGGGCACAGGCACAUUCAUGACGUAGCUCAGACCAGUAAAUGGCCUGAAAAGGGGAUCCCUGAGCGUGAGCAGAGGUGUGAGUUGAGGUCCCGUGACAUGGCAAUUAGGGCCCAGUACAACCUUCCCUCCCAUCUCACCUCACAACACUUUGGGUUUUGGGGGUGCCUGCUAAAACAGAUUCUGAUUUUGGCCAAUCCAACUGGUUCCCAGGAGUGCUCCUCAGCUUCAUCAGUUAAUGAGGUGUUAAACCUUCCCCCAAACAGCACAAUGUUUGCUCAAAACUUAUUUUACUGGGAAGUGGAUACAUAAGGAACCAACAAGUAGAUGCAAGGUUUGACAUUCACAGCGCUUCCAACCAAAAUCAGAAGGAAAUGGGUGCAAACACGACUCUUAGUUGUUACAGCAAGGCAAGACGUGAUUUACUGGAGACUGUUCCUAUUGCCAGUUCUGGGUGCCACCAUCAGCUCUCUCCAGUUGUCUGGAUCUCUGCCACCUUGAUGCAGCCUUGCGGAAUCUCCCAGCCCAUGAAAUCACAGGAAAUACAAUUCCCCACAGAGACAUCACCCUGCAGUGUCAAAGCUCUUAUGAUUCCCAUCCUAAUAUCACAAGAAACAUCAUUAAACAGUAUCACUUAAUCACAUCCAAGUAUGAGGCCUUUCCAAAGGUGCAGGUAUCUUCCUUGGUUACUGGUGCUAUUUAGAGCUGUGCCUCACAAACUGCUUAAAUGGUCUGGAAGUCACUUUUCUUCCCAGCCUUCACUUUGCAUCCCACAUGCUCUAUAUGGGAUCCAGUUAACUCUAAGGCAGACAAUGCUUAUUUUCUUCUAGUUUUUCC
rnacentral:lncRNA from 1 species